AAACAUCUAUCAACACACAUUAACAAUAAUAUUCAUUAGACUAACUGGUGGCAAAAGUUGAACUCAUGAAUAGCUUCUUUCUCCUAAAGGAGAUAAAUAUUCAAAAAAGAGUCAGAACAUGGCAGCGGCAACCUUACUAAAAUUCUGAUUGGAAGCAAAAAAGCAAGAGGAAAGUUUUCCUCUGAAGCCUCCAACUACAGUGCUGACAACUGGAUAUGUUUAAAAAUUUACUUUAUGAAUGCACUAAAACAGGGGUAUCAAACUCAAGGCCUGCGGCCUGGAUCGGGCCCAUGGGGUGCUUAGAUCUGGUGCCCGGUGCCACUCUGGAAACAGCAAAUGAUGAGCCUGCUGUGCCUCUGCCAAUGAAAAUGGAGCUCGGGAGGGCCGCUGACAGAGCACUUGGGCCACCACAGGUCCCCCGACACGAGUGACAUGCACCCUGGCCAGGCCCACCCAGCCCCCCAAGAUCAAACACAAUCCUGAUGCGGCCUUCACCGAAAUCAAGUUUGACACCCCUGCACUAAAGCUUACUUGCUUCAUUUAUUUACUUAUUUUGGGGUGGUUUUUUUUAAUAUUCUUUUAUGUUGUCUUUAAAUUGUGAAGCUGUUAAAAACAGGACUAAAAAAAUCACUAAUACCAACAUGAUAAGCUUUGGGAAAUUCUGAUUUAGAAGCACCGGGUUGGGUUUUAUUAAGUGAGUUUUAUUUCCACUAGAAUACAGAAAAAAUGAUAGGCAUCCAAUGAAUAGAUCUGAAUUAGCAAGCUAUGUUUUAUAACCCAGCAACAGCAGCAGUAACUCAAAGAUCAAUAGAAGAAACUCUGGGUUAGAGCAGAGUAUAUUUAUUUUCAAACUGAUUUACUUAAAUUAUUCUUGAACUGAUACUGCAUUUUUCUACAAUAAAUUACACUCAAGACAGUUGUCAAAUUGGAAUAAAUAAAUAAGCAAAAUACAAUCCUAACCAUAAAACUAAUAGACCAAGAAUGAUAAAAUACUGGAAUAAAAACAUAUCUUGAGAAAGCACAAGGGGGAAAAAAUUGCUAUCAGAGCCACCAUAUGCAAUUCUCUUCCACCAAACUGCCACCGAUAUUUUAGCAAAGUCUCAAUACUGAAGUUGGGUUCGCACACGGCCAUUACCUAUAUUCUUGUUUGUUUGGCUCUCACUUAGUACAUGAGAUGAAACCAGCCACUGUGGGUGGGAAAUAAUGGUUUAUCAUAUUGUAAGAGUCCAGAAAUAAACCACGAUUAAACAAACCAUA